rnacentral:lncRNA from 1 species
GUUUGAUAAUCCAUAAUGUAAAACAUAUUUGAUUACAUUAUAAUCCAAAAUCCAGUCAAUUAUGAACUUACUUUGACAACAGUCAAUGUCAAUAUCUUAGCAUUGGCAUAAAUGAUAAACACUAGUAAAUUUAUUCUAAUUUGCUUCUAAGGCUAGACUUAUACACUGUUAAUCCCUAUUAGAGUCCAGCCAGACGUUAGCUUUAGAUUUCUAGCAAGUUACAAGCAAGUUGCUCUUGAUCCUUCAAAUUGUCACAAGAAAAUGAAUUGGGUACUUACCCAAAGACAUUCUUUCCCUUUACAGGGAACUUGCUGUUGCUAACAGUAAAAAAAGAAAAGAAGCUACAAAUAGCACUUGUUUUUGCCUGAGGAAAGACCGGAGAAUCAACAAAAAUUAGGAAGCCAAUCUAUGUUGAUAUCUUUAUGCACCUUUAUUUUCAGAUUUGGAAGGAAAGUUUCCCAGUCUUUCCAUGAAUUUGUUGUUUCUUCAUCACCUGUCACCUCCUCUAGGUC